rnacentral:rRNA from 1 species
CUUGUAGGCGGCCAACUAAGUCCGACGUGAAAUCCCCAGGCUUAACCUGGGAACUGCGUCGGAUACUGGAUGGCUUGAAUUCGGGAGAGGGAUGCAGAAUUCCAGGUGUAGCGGUGAAAUGCGUAGAUAUCUGGAGGAAUACCGGUGGCGAAGGCGGCAUCCUGGACCGACAUUGACGCUGAGGAGCGAAAGCCAGGGGAGCAAACG